CCUACGGGAGGCAGCAGUGGGGAAUAUUGCACAAUGGGGGCAACCCUGAUGCAGCGACGCCGCGUGUGUGAAGAAGUAAUUCGUUACGUAAAGCUCUAUCAGCAGGGAAGAAAAUGACGUUGCCUGAGUAAGAAGCCCCUGCUAACUACGUGCCAGCAGCCGCGGUAAUACGAAGGGGGCAAGCGUUAUCCGGAUUUACUGGGUGUAAAGGGAGCGUAGACGGUGCGCCAAGUCUGGAGUGAAAUGCCGCGGCUUAACUGCGGAACUGCUUUGGAGACUGGCGAACUAGAGUGCGGGAGGGGUAAGCGGAAUUCCUAGUGUAGCGGUGAAAUGCGUAGAUAUUAGGAGGAACACCGGUGGCGAAGGCGGCUUACUGGACCGUAACUGACGUUGAGGCUCGAAAGCGUGGGGAGCAAACAGGAUUAGAUACCCCAGUAGUC
rnacentral:rRNA from 1 species